rnacentral:rRNA from 1 species
AAAUCCGGUUCACUUUAACACUGAGGCGUGACGACGAGGCACUACGGUGCUGAAGCAACAAAUGCCCUGCUUCCAGGAAAAGCCUCUAAGCAUCAGGUAACAUCAAAUCGUACCCCAAACCGACACAGGUGGUCAGGUAGAGAAUACCAAGGCGCUUGAGAGAACUCGGGUGAAGGAACUAGGCAAAAUGGUGCCGUAACUUCGGGAGAAGGCACGCUGACACGUAGGUGAAGUGAUUUACUCAUGGAGCUGAAGUCAGUCGAAGAUACCAGCUGGCUGCAACUGUUUAUUAAAAACACAGCACUGUGCAAACACGAAAGUGGACGUAUACGGUGUGACGCCUGCCCGGUGCCGGAAGGUUAAUUGAUGGGGUCAGCGCAAGCGAAGCUCCUGAUCGAAGCCCCGGUAAACGGCGGCCGUAACUAUAACGGUCCUAAGGUAGCGAAAUUCCUUGUCGGGUAAGUUCCGACCUGCACGAAUGGCGUAAUGAUGGCCAGGCUGUCUCCACCCGAGACUCAGUGAAAUUGAACUCGCUGUGAAGAUGCAGUGUACCCGCGGCAAGACGGAAAGACCCCGUGAACCUUUACUAUAGCUUGACACUGAACAUUGAGCCUUGAUGUGUAGGAUAGGUGGGAGGCUUUGAAGUGUGGACGCCAGUCUGCAUGGAGCCGACCUUGAAAUACCACCCUUUAAUGUUUGAUGUUCUAACGUGGACCCGUUACCCGGGUUGCGGACAGUGUCUGGUGGGUAGUUUGACUGGGGCGGUCUCCUCCUAAAGAGUAACGGAGGAGCACGAAGGUUGGCUAAUCCUGGUCGGACAUCAGGAGGUUAGUGCAAUGGCAUAAGCCAGCUUGACUGCGAGCGUGACGGCGCGAGCAGGUGCGAAAGCAGGUCAUAGUGAUCCGGUGGUUCUGAAUGGAAGGGCCAUCGCUCAACGGAUAAAAGGUACUCCGGGGAUAACAGGCUGAUACCGCCCAAGAGUUCAUAUCGACGGCGGUGUUUGGCACCUCGAUGUCGGCUCAUCACAUCCUGGGGCUGAAGUAGGUCCCAAGGGUAUGGCUGUUCGCCAUUUAAAGUGGUACGCGAGCUGGGUUUAGAACGUCGUGAGACAGUUCGGUCCCUAUCUGCCGUGGGCGCUGGAGAACUGAGGGGGGCUGCUCCUAGUACGAGAGGACCGGAGUGGACGCAUCACUGGUGUUCGGGUUGUCAUGCCAAUGGCACUGCCCGGUAGCUAAAUGCGGAAGAGAUAAGUGCUGAAAGCAUCUAAGCACGAAACUUGCCCCGAGAUGAGUUCUCCCUGAGACUUAAAGUCUCCUGAAGGAACGUUGAAGACGACGACGUUGAUAG